CCUGAAAAAUAAGCAUAGGGGGUCCUGCCUGCCCAGUGACUGAAAAGUUAAACGGCCGCGGUAUCUUGACCGUGCGAAGGUAGCAUAAUCAUUUGUCUCCUAAAUAGAGACUGGUAUGAAUGGCAAGACGGAGCUUCACUGUCUCCUCCUCUUUGAUCUGAACUUCACAUUCCCGUGAAGAGGCGAGAAUUAGUUCGUAAGACGAGAAGACCCUGUCGAGCUGUAGCUAAAUUUUAAUUGUUGUUUACUAUUAGCCCUAACUAAUUAUAAUAAGGGUAGCAGGCCUAAAGCAUAACAAAUUAAAACAAGCUUUGAUUGGGGCAAUCCCGGAGAAAGAAAAUCCUCCGCUACUAUAUGGUUAUAUUAACCUAAAAUAAAAGAAUUAUUUUUCUUAAAUCAUAAAAAUGAAGGUAUGAUCCACUUACAGUGAUCAAAAGAACAAG
rnacentral:rRNA from 1 species